GUGGACGCCAGUCUGCAUGGAGCCGGCCUUGAAAUACCACCCUUUAAUGUUUGAUGUUCUAACGUGGACCCGUAAUCCGGGUUGCGGACAGUGUCUGGUGGGUAGUUUGACUGGGGCGGUCUCCUCCUAAAGAGUAACGGAGGAGCACGAAGGUUGGCUAAUCCUGGUCGGACAUCAGGAGGUUAGUGCAAUGGCAUAAGCCAGCUUGACUGCGAGCGUGACGGCGCGAGCAGGUGCGAAAGCAGGUCAUAGUGAUCCGGUGGUUCUGAAUGGAAGGGCCAUCGCUCAACGGAUAAAAGGUACUCCGGGGAUAACAGGCUGAUACCGCCCAAGAGUUCAUAUCGACGGCGGUGUUUGGCACCUCGAUGUCGGCUCAUCACAUCCUGGGGCUGAAGUAGGUCCCAAGGGUAUGGCUGUUCGCCAUUUAAAGUGGUACGCGAGCUGGGUUUAGAACGUCGUGAGACAGUUCGGUCCCUAUCUGCCGUGGGCGCUGGAGAACUGAGGGGGGCUGCUCCUAGUACGAGAGGACCGGAGUGGACGCAUCACUGGUGUUCGGGUUGUCAUGCCAAUGGCACUGCCCGGUAGCUAAAUGCGGAAGAGAUAAGUGCUGAAAGCAUCUAAGCACGAAACUUGCCCCGAGAUGAGUUCUCCCUGAGACUUAGAGUCUCCUGAAGGAACGUUGAAGACGACGACGUUGAUAGGCCGGGUGUGUAAGCGCAGCGAUGCGUUGAGCUAACCGGUACUAAUGAACCGUGAGGCUUAACCUUACAACGCCGAAG
rnacentral:rRNA from 1 species